rnacentral:rRNA from 1 species
UACAGAGGGGGCGAGCGUUGUUCGGAAUUACUGGGCGUAAAGGGCGCGUAGGCGGCCUGCUAAGUCGAACGUGGAAUCCCCGGGCUCAACCCGGGAACUGCGUCCGAUACUGGUGGGCUUGAAUCCGGGAGAGGGAUGUGGAAUUCCAGGUGUAGCGGUGAAAUGCGUAGAUAUCUGGAGGAACACCGGUGGCGAAGGCGGCAUCCUGGACCGGAAUUGACGCUGAGGCGCGAAAGCGUGGGGAGCGAACAGG